rnacentral:rRNA from 1 species
UUCUUUAUGAAUUUUAUAUAAAGUAAUUUCUGCCCAAUGAAUAAUUUUAUUUAAAUGGCUGCAGUAUAUUGACUGUACAAAGGUAGCAUAGUAAUUAGUUUUUUAAUUGGGAACUUGUAUGAAAGGAUACAUGAGAAAUUUUCUUUAUUAAUUUUAGAAUUAAAAUUUUAUUUUUUGGUUAAAAAGCUAAAUUGUUUUUUAGGGACGAUAAGACCCUAUAGAAUUUAAAAUUUAUAUUAAUUUAAAUAUUUUUUAGGUUAAAUUUAUUUUUUUUUAAUUUAAAUUUUUAAUUGGGGUGAUUAAUAAAUUCUAUAUCUUUUUUUAAUAAAUUCAUAUAUAUAUGUUUUUUUUGAUCCUUAAAUUUAAGAUUGUAAGAUAAAUUACCUUAGGGAUAACAGCGUAAUUUUAAUGGGAAGUUCAUAUUUAAAUUAAAGUUUGCGACCUCGAUGUUGAAUUAAGAGUAAUUUAUGGUGUAGAUGCUAUGAUUUUAAGUCUGUUCGACUUUUAUAAUCUUACA